GGCCUCCCUCCUGUGGGGCUGUGGGGGCUCCCUGUUCUCCUCAGCCAGGAUUGGAGGCCCAGAUCAGGCUUUGAGGAUCAUCGUUGGGGCUGCCGUGAGCUGGGCAGCCUUGUUUUCCUACCUCAGACAUUU
ensembl:scaRNA